rnacentral:rRNA from 1 species
UACGUAGGGGGCAAGCGUUGUCCGGAUUCAUUGGGCGUAAAGAGCUCGUAGGCGGUGUGUCGCGUCGGCCGUGAAAACCUGCAGCUUAACUGUGGGCGUGCGGUCGAUACGGGCAUCACUGGAGUUCGGCAGGGGAGACUGGAAUUCCUGGUGUAGCGGUGAAAUGCGCAGAUAUCAGGAGGAACACCGGUGGGCGAAGGCGGG